rnacentral:rRNA from 1 species
UACCAGCUCUCCGAGUGGUGGGGAUGAUUAUUGGGCCUAAAGCAUCCGUAGCCGGCUGGACAAGUCCCCUGUUAAAUCCAACGAUCCAAUCGUUGGUCUGCGGGGGAUACUGUCCGGCUAGGGGGCGGGAGAGGCCGCCGGUAUUUCCGGGGUAGGGGUGAAAUCCUAUAAUCCCGGGAGGACCACCAGUGGCGAAGGCUGUCGGCUAGAACGCGCCCGACGGUGAGGGAUGAAAGCUGGGGGAGCGAACCGG